rnacentral:rRNA from 1 species
CCUACGGGAGGCAGCAGUGAGGAAUAUUGGUCAAUGGACGAGAGUCUGAACCAGCCAAGUAGCGUGAAGGAUGACUGCCCUAUGGGUUGUAAACUUCUUUUAUAUGGGAAUAAAACGUUCCACGUGUGGGAUUUUGUAUGUACCAUAUGAAUAAGGAUCGGCUAACUCCGUGCCAGCAGCCGCGGUAAUACGGAGGAUCCGAGCGUUAUACGGAUUUAUUGGGUUUAAAGGGAGCGUAGGUGGAUUGUUAAGUCAGUUGUGAAAGUUUGCGGCUCAACCGUAAAAUUGCAGUUGAAACUGGCAGUCUUGAGUACAGUAGAGGUGGGCGGAAUUCGUGGUGUAGCGGUGAAAUGCUUAGAUAUCACGAAGAACUCCGAUUGCGAAGGCAGUUCACUGGACUGCAACUGACACUGAGGCUCGAAAGUGUGGGUAUCAAACAGGAUUAGAUACCCCUGUAGUC